rnacentral:misc_RNA from 1 species
UAGUGAUCAACGGGGAAAGGCCCCU